UCUCUUGUCGUGGUGUACUUCAUACGCGGGAUUGACGAAGGUGAAGUAUUUAGUCCUUUUGUAACAUUCUAAUUAAUCGAAUCUGAAUGAGUUAAAAUUUUGAUGUGUGACUUCAGUCGGCGCUCUUCAAUUUCCUCUAUUGUAUACGCCGACCAUUGCAAAAAAAAAAAAAAAACAACAACAACAACAAAGAAAUUAAAAGAUAAGAGAAGGGAAAACAUUUGAUUUCUAACUAGUCUGUUUUCAAUUUUUGCCUUCUCUCGUCUUCGAGUAUUAAAAUUUAUUGUCUUAUGACUUAUUCCUUUUUUGAUGGAAAUGUUGUCUUUUGGCUUGAGUUUCUUUGAUACAUUUUUGCAAAAUAAUUGACUGUUUUGGGUGGCAACUGGCAAGGCAACAAAUAUAGUCACAAUUUUAUAGUUGUAAAUUUAGCAUUGGCGAAGUCGGAAGUAGAGUUGUCAAUCUUUGUAAGAAAAAAAAUACUUUAUUUUUUUAAUCAUGCGCACAUCUUCUUAGAUGACUUCAACUUGAUUCCUAUCUCCAUCAAGUAGAGUUCUCUGCAUAAAAAAUGGCUUGUUACGUUGGCUUCUUAGGAAUUGCUGUUCUAAUUUAGCAAUUUGGUUGUCUUGUUAUGUUGUCUGCUGGUGUACUGAGAUGAAUUUGAUGCUGAAAUUUUAUCUGAAUUUUGGGUCUGUAAGGGUGCUUGUUGUAAUUGAAUUUCAGUAGUUUUGUUUUGACAACACUGCUUUAUUAAUAAACUUAUUUUGCUUUUCUAAAGCAUGAUAUGUUUGUUUUUUAAUCAGUUAAACAUAAUUUUAAUUGUUUAUAUGUAUACAUAUCAGUGAAUUAUGAAGUUUGGUAUUUUUUGUCAUGCUAAGUUCUUCAUUUUUUGGGUCAGAUUUAAUUUAGGUUUGCUUUAGUUUUGCGGGUUAGCUUCAAAGCUUGAUGACAUUGAAAAAUUAUUCAAGUAUUUUAGUGUAAAGUUUGGGUUUUCUUCAAGGAGAGACGUGGAAUUGAAAAGCUGGAGUGUUGGCGAUUGAGGUUAGUCUCUAUUAUUGUUGUUAUAUUCUUUUCUACAUCUAAAUUCAAAAUCACCUAAUACAAAAUAUGAUUCUUCUUAUUACUGUUUGUACUUUUAUAUUUCCUCAACAAGGUCUAAUUUUAGUUUAUAGAAGCAAUAAACCUAUGUAGUAAACAGUGGAUGUAGUAAACCCAUUUUAGUCUAAUUUCAAAGGGUUUUUGAAUUUCCAUUUUAGUUUAUAAAUUUUCAAGUUUAUUACUGUACAUUUUGAACUUGUGCAAUUUUUUUUUUUGCAAUCAAUUAGUUGCACUAUUUGAACUUGUAAUUUUGCUAUUUAAAUAUUGACAUGAUUUUUCAAUAUUUUGACUAAAAAAUGUUAAUUUAUUAUAUGAUUAAAUGCUAUCUUUUUGACUAAAAGUAUAUAUUUAAUACUAAUUAAUUUUUUAUAUUAAUAAUGUUUGAUUUUAAUAUUUAAUAUUUUUAAAUGUUUUUAAAACUUAUAAAAUAUAUAUCAUAACUUACAUAACUUACAUAACUUACAUAAAUAUAUAUAAAAACUUACAUAACUUACAGAAUUUUAAAGAAUUAAAAAAAAAACUUUGGAUAUUAACUUAAUAACUUAUAUAUAUCAUAUCAUAACUUACAUAACUCACAUAACGUACAUAACUUAAUAACUUAUAUAUAUCAUAUCAUAACUCAUAUAACGUACAUAGUAACUUAUAUAUAUCAUAUCAUAACUUACAUAACUCACAUAACUUACAUAAUACAUAAAUAUAUAUCAUAUCAUAACUUAAUUAUACUUAUAAAUAAACAACUUACCCAUGUAAAUUAUUAUCAACUUUAGACUUCAAGAACUACGAAAUGGAUAAGACUUGGAUGAAUUUGUCAAGGGUAAGCAACGACUAUCGAAAUAGAGUACAAACUUUUCUAAAUUUUGCAUUUCAAAAUGCAAGCCAAAAGAAUAUGAUUCUUUGCCCAUGUAAGAAGUGUGGCAACAUCAAUUGGGAUUUUCGUGAAGUUGUCUACGAACAUCUAAUUGUAGAUGGGUUUAUUCGGGGUAUAUAAAAUGGAUUUUCCAUAGAGAGUGCACACUUAGUAGAACAUCUUCAAUGAUUAAUCCGACUUAUCCUCAUAGUGCUUACCAUCAGCCUGUUAGAGAAGAUGACAUGGAAGGUAUGUUGCGGGAUGCAUUUAAUAUGUGCAGUCAUGGUUUGUGAGAUCUAAGUAUUGUUCAAAAUACUCCAAAUUCGGAAGAAACAAAUAGUGAACAACAGACUGCUAUUGGAUCUUCAAAUGUUCCGAAUACACCUGACAAACUUGCAGAAAUUCAAAGUAAUGUUAAAUUUAAUUUACAUGCGUGUUGACUUUUAUUAUUGAUUUCUUUUUCAAAUUCUUAUAUUAUAAUAUACCAUUUUCAGCUAAAAGUGGUGGGACGCACAGAGGUCGAGGACGUACGCUACUUAAAGAUUUAUAUGAGUUAAAUCCUGUCGAGCGUGUCAAAGUAUCUAGAAACAAUCUUGGUCAGCCUGUUGGAUCAGAAGCUCGACUUUUAGCAGGAUAUUUGGGUAUUAUAGCAUAAAAUGCCAAUAUGUUGCCUAUCAACUACGAGUCAUGGCAUCAAAUGUCUGAUAGUAACAAAAAUGAAGCUCUCGAUAAUAUUAAGGUAACAAAACGUGAAUGUAAUUUAUAAUACUUUAGUUUAAGUUUCAUUUAUAUUUACUUUCUAAACUUGUGUUUUUUGUAGGAGAGAUUUGCUUUAGAGGUCUCGGAUAAUUAUGUCAAGAAGGUAUUGGGAAAAAAAUGGAGAGACCAUAAAAGCACUUUAAAGAAAGAAUAUUUUAAGAAAAAUAUAAGCCUCGAAGAGAAAUUGCGAAAUGUUCCACCGGGAAUGCUGAGAUACCAAUGAGAAGAUGCGGUUAGAUUUUGGAAUUCAAAGAAAGGAGAGGUAUUACGUACUUCCAAACUCUGAUAAUUAUUUUGGUUUAUAGUAUUUACUAUAUACGUAAUAAUAAUUUCAUAAUGUAGGAUCGUGAACGAGUUGGAACAAGCAGCAGGCAAAAACAGAAAUUCACUCACACAGCUGGGUCGAAAGUUUUGCUUGUAUAGUUGAGGCCGAUGUAUUUUGAAUUUAUUAAUUGUGUCAAAUAUUUAUUACUUUCUAUUAAAUAAUAUUUUUACUACUAUAUUGUAGGAACUAUCGUCUGGUCAAAAAGUUGGACGCCUUCAGCUUUUUGACAUUACACAUAAGAAGAAAGAUGGAUCUCCUAUGACUUCUAAAGCUGCAAAAAUUAUGGUAUGUUUACUUAAUAAAAUUUGAAUUAUUUUAAAUAUUUAUAAUUUUUAAUUAUAAUGGUUUAAUUCGUCGUUUGUAAUGCAAAUAAUGUUAUGCUGCAUUUAUUUUUAUUAUAUAUUUCGUUUCUAACUUUUUGAUUGAUUUAUUAGGAGAAACUAAAUGAUAAAAUGGCGGACUGUGAAGCGAUUGCUUCGAGUGAUAGUUCUAUUAAUGUUGACGACAUUGAUAACUGGAUUAUUAUUGAAGUUUUGGGUCCUGAAAGGCAUGGUUGGGUUCGAUUUCAAGGAUCUUUUAUUAACCCAACCUAAUAUUUUGGAUCCAGCUCGCAGCAAUACAUGCCUUCGAGGAGUUAGGCUCAAGCUGAAGUUCAGAGGUUAAGAGAUCAGAUGGCUCAGAUGCAAGUGAGCACAGUUGAGUUAAUUGCUCAACUUAAAGCGGAGGCAGCAUCGAGAGAAGCUGAGGUUCAAAGAAAAUAUGAAGAACUCUAGCUACAACUUAAAGCGGAUGCAGUAGCGAGGGAAACAGAGCAGAGUAGAGCAGAAAGUACGACGCACUCCAGCUACAGCUUCAAAAUAUGAUGAAUAUGUUUCAGCAGUCGCAAAAUCUGUCAUCUUAGACAUGUGUUUUCUUAUUGUAAGAAUAUUUUUAACAUUGUAACUUUUAACAUUAUUGUAAGAAUAUUUUGAAUUAUACUUCAGUUAUCAAUUUAUAUUAUAUAUCUUUCGUUGAAUUUGAAGUAUCAUUUAGAUUUUCUGUUUUUGAUUGGAUUUCAUGCUACAAGAAGGGUUGUAUAUGGAUGAAAAUUGAAUGUUACAAAUUUACCAAAGUUAGUGGCGUUUUUUCAUAAACGCCGCUGAAAAACGGUACUUUUAGCGGUGUUUCAGCGGCGUUUGUGAUAAAAGCGCCGUUAAAGAUCAUGUUCUUUAACGGUAUUUGUGAAAUCACUAAAAGUCAUUCUCUAUAGCGGCAUUUGUGAUAAAAGCGUUGCUGAAGGUCAUGUUCUUUAGCGGUGAUAAAAGUGCCGCUAAAGGUCAUGUUCUAUAACGGCAUUUUUUUUCACAUAAACGCCGUAAAAUUUAGCGGCAUUGUCUAUAGCGGCGCUUGUGGCCUAAAAAAACGCCGCUAAAAGCCUGUUUUGCUGUAGUGUGAUAGAAUUUUUCGUCUUGUGCUAACUCUUCCUGUGUCUACUGCAACAAUCGAAUGAGCAUUUCCAACUAUAAAAAUUAUGAAGACAAGGCUUCACAACAUAAUGGAGGAUGAUUUUUUUAACUUACUUGGUGGCAUAUAUCGGAAAAGAAAUAGCUCGAGAAUUUUCAACAGAUUCUAUCAUUGAUGAGUUCAAUCUUAUGAAAAAACGGAGGGUACAAUUUAGGAUGCCUAGUAUUGAGAAAUAAGAUUAAAGCCAAGUUUUUUUAAUUGAAUUUUUGGAAUUAUAAUGAUAUUUACGAAUUUUUUAGUAUAGUAUUAGUUAUUAUUUUUUGCAUAUUGGAAAGAGAUGUCUGAUAUUAUAUAGUGUGAUUUUUUUUCUUUAAAUUUUUUACAGUUAAAUUGUUCAUUCUUUUUAAAAAAUACUAAAUUGUAUAGUGUGAUUUUUUUUCUUUAAAUUUUUUACAGUUAAAAUGUUCAUUCUUUUAAAAAAAAUACUAAAUUGAUUUAUUUGAUAAGAAAAAAAGUAUCCGAGAAGAACUGACAUUUUUUACGUUAAAAAAAAGGUUGUUCAAAUUUAGAAGUUUUGUCCCCCUAGAUUAAAAUCCUGGAUCCAUUCCUGUAUUCAGGUGCAACAGUUGUUACCAUCAUUAAAAUUAAUCUAUUAAAUUCUCUGGUGUGAAAUUUUAUUUUAUUUAAAAAAUAUUCACUUGAUAGUCAUAUAACAAUAAAAAUAUCGUUAAAGAUAUUUAUUAUGAUUUUUUUCUUAAAAACACUAAUUUGAAAUUGUCUCAAUAAAAUAAUUUUUUUCUGUUGAAAUAGUGUUCUUGAGAAAAAUCGGCGUCAACAUUUUGAUUGAAAUAAUUAACAAUAUUAACUAUUUAGAUUAACUAAUGACAUUAUAAAAGUAUAUGGACAAAAUUAUGUCAAAAAUUAAACUAUAAGGAUUAAAUCUCAAGUUUUAGCAUAGCCUAGAGGUCAAAUUUGAAAAUUGACCAUUGUCUUAUAAUAUAAAAAAAAGCCACGUAAAACUAAAAGAAAAAAAAAGCCACGUGUCAAUCUCUAAAACUCUUAAGGUAUUCAAAUUGUCUAUAACCACGUAAUGUUUUAACCGAAGAAUUAACUAUAUUAACUAUUUAGACUAAUUAAAAACAUUAUAAAAGUAUAGAGGUCAAAUUAUGUUAAAAAUAAAAGUAUAUAGAUUAAUUCUCAAAAUUAAGUAUAUUAAAGGGAUGAAAUAUGAUAUUUGACCAUUUUGUAUAAAAUGCAAGAAGGGGGCAGUGAGCUUGCCACGUGGUAGCAGAAGGAAGGCAUAUAUAAGUAUAUAAUAAAUGUCGGACUUAUCAUUAAAGUGAAUUUAAAAUUUUAAAAUUUUGGAGAAAUUUGAAAUUAAGGUAUUUAAUUUUUUUUUCUUUUGAGAAAUAGGAGGGAUAGAUAAUAGCUAGACCUGCUCGUCCGGCUCGAAGGCUUGCCUGAAAAGUGUAAAGGUUUAGGCAAAAAUACAGGCUCAAAAAAUAGACUUGGAUAAAAAAAUAAGGCCAGUUUAAAAAAGAGGUCAGGCUUCGGGUAAAACAUUUUUGACCCGAGCCUGCCCCAGAUUCACAAAAGGACAAAAAAAAGUUGUUUUUUUUUUUGUUGUUUUAAUGUUAUUUUCUUAUUGUUUUCUCCCUAUUUUACUACCAUUUCCUAUUAUGUUAUUACUAUUUUAUUGUUAUUGUUUGGAUAUUGUAUAACAAAUUUUUUCUUUUUGUUAAUUUUUUUAUUUGUUUUAGAGACAUUUGCUUGUUAAGUUGUAUCUAUCUUAGUGUUAUUUAAGUAUACAUAUUUUUUAAAAUUUAUUUUCAAUUUAUUGGGAAAUAUUUAUUUUAAUAUUUUUAGUAUUUUUAAUGUAUUAUAUACAUUUAAAAAUUAUAUAAAAAUAAUAUAAAAAAUUAAUACAAGCGAGCUAGACCCGAAUUUUAGCAUUUUUAUUCGAACUGAAUUUAGAUAAAAUUUUAAGCUCAAUUUUUAGGCCAAGCCUAAAUCCAAACAGAAUAAACAUGCUUAAAUUUUUAAUUGGACCCGACCUGACUUAUGAGCGCGGCCAAUAGAAAGCCUACUAAAAUGGAGUCCUAAAUAAUCAACGAGCAGGAUAUCUAUGAUAUCUCACUAAAAGCUCAAAGUUACUCAAUUGGACGAAGGCGUUUUAUUUGUUAGCUUAUUUGACUCACGUUAUUUUUUAUAAGCAAAUAAGAUGUAAUUUACUGUGCCACAUACCCAUGAUCGAAUUUAGUAUGAGGUUGAGAUUAUGAUUUUCAUAAGCAGAUAGAUUUUUAGGAAAUGAUAUAUCAUGUCACAUAAUCAUGAUGGAAUUUAUUUUGAGAUAAUCGAGCUGUUUGGAGUAUAAAUAAGUUGUUGUGACCCACAUAUGGGUACCAAAAUAAAAGGAAAUAAAUAAAUGAUAUUGUUUUGGUGAAGGAAUAUUAUUUUUGGGGGUGCUGAAUGCUGAUGAACUUGAGAAUAGGUUGUCUUUACCAGGAAAAUAGUUGGUAAAGAUCCAAAUUAAACAGUACUACAAUUUAUUCACCGGAAAUGGACGGCAAACAGUAAGGAUGUUGUUGACAGCUUACCUAAACAGAAUUAGAUGAUUGAUUACAGUGUUCCCAAGUGCUUGAACGUUUCUCAUCGGAAUCAGUUCGCCAUCUAUAAUUUGUCCACGGAAAUGGUCACCACUCUCAACCUACCAGCUUACAAAGAAAAGGUCCCUGUUUCAUUCAUUAUAAAAUAACGUUUUCUGAUUGAAUACUGUCAGAACCCCUGGAUGGUACCUAUAUAUAGGAUAGGAAUUUGGGAUCUAAAUCAAACAGAAAAAGUAAAAGUCUUAAGUCCUCCAUUGCAGCUUACCAAUGGCUUCCAGUUCUUCUCUAAGAAGCUGUUCCUUGUUCCUGUUUUUGAUUCUUUCAUCCAUAUUUUCAUUAGGGUUUUCCACCCGCACCAUUACAAACUAUACAUUCUCGAUCAGAGAAGCGACGAUCAAAGAUAUAAAACUAAGUUUUGAGAGAAACCAACUCACCUCGAGGCAACUUGUCCAGUACUAUCUCAGAGAAAUCGCCAGGCUCAAUGGGCUCCUUAAAGGAAUCAUAGAAGUGAACCCUGAUGCAUUGCUCCAAGCUGAUGCUGCAGAUAAAGAAAG
rnacentral:lncRNA from 1 species